GCACCACGGCCUUUUAUAUCUUGAUUUCGUAGACGUCAGACUUGAAUUUUUUUUGAAUAGCAUUGGAUAUAUCAAACACUUUCAUCUCGUUUGCGAGCGAUCAUGGUUGUUGUGAAGGAACCGAAACAUCGGGAUAAUGUAGUUAUAAAAUAAUAAAAAACACGUUGUAUCCGAAAA